rnacentral:rRNA from 1 species
AUUGAACGCUGGCGGCAGGCCUAACACAUGCAAGUCGAGCGGCAGCGGGAAAGUAGCUUGCUACUUUUGCCGGCGAGCGGCGGACGGGUGAGUAAUGCCUGGGGAUCUGCCCAGUCGAGGGGGAUAACAGUUGGAAACGACUGCUAAUACCGCAUACGCCCUACGGGGGAAAGGAGGGGACCUUCGGGCCUUUCGCGAUUGGAUGAACCCAGGUGGGAUUAGCUAGUUGGUGGGGUAAUGGCUCACCAAGGCGACGAUCCCCAGCUGGUCUGAGAGGAUGAUCAGCCAAACUGGAACUGAGACACGGUCCAGACUCCUACGGGAGGCAGCAGUGGGGAAUAUUGCACAAUGGGGGAAACUCUGAUCCAGCCAUGCCGUGUGUGUGAAGAAGGCCUUAUGGUUGUAAAGCACUUUAAGCGAGGAGGAGGCUCUUUUGGUUAAUACCCAAGAUGAGUGGACGUUACUCGCAGAAUAAGCACCGGCUAACUCUGUGCCAGCCGCCGCCGUAAAAC